CUAUAAUGCAGUCGAGCGAAUGACGAGGAGCUUGCUCCUCUGAUUUAGCGGCGGACGGGUGAGUAACACGUGGGUAACCUGCCUGUAAGACGGGGAUAACUUCGGGAAACCGAAGCUAAUACCGGAUAAUAAAGAGAAACGCCUGUUUCUUUUUUGAAAGUCGGUUUCGGCUGACGCUUACAGAUGGGCCCGCGGCGCAUUAGCUAGUUGGUGAGGUAACGGCUCACCAAGGCCACGAUGCGUAGCCGACCUGAGAGGGUGAUCGGCCACACUGGGACUGAGACACGGCCCAGACUCCUACGGGAGGCAGCAGUAGGGAAUCUUCGGCAAUGGACGAAAGUCUGACCGAGCAACGCCGCGUGAGCGAUGAAGGCCUUCGGGUCGUAAAGCUCUGUUGUCAGAGAAGAACAAGUACCGGAGUAACUGCCGGUACCUUGACGGUACCUGACCAGAAAGCCACGGCUAACUACGUGCCAGCAGCCGCGGUAAUACGUAGGUGGCAAGCGUUAUCCGGAAUUAUUGGGCGUAAAGCGCGCGCAGGCGGUUCCUUAAGUCUGAUGUGAAAGCCCACGGCUCAACCGUGGAGGGUCAUUGGAAACUGGGGAACUUGAGUGCAGGAGAGAAAAGUGGAAUUCCACGUGUAGCGGUGAAAUGCGUAGAGAUGUGG
rnacentral:rRNA from 1 species